rnacentral:rRNA from 1 species
AGUGAACGCUGGCGGCAGGCCUAACACAUGCAAGUCGAACGGCAGCACAGAGGAGCUUGCUCCUUGGGUGGCGAGUGGCGGACGGGUGAGGAAUACGUCGGAAUCUGCCUAUUUGUGGGGGAUAACGUAGGGAAACUUACGCUAAUACCGCAUACGACCUACAGGUGAAAGUGGGGGACCUUCGGGCCUCACGCAGAUAGAUGAGCCGACGUCGGAUUAGCUAGUUGGCGGGGUAAAGGCCCACCAAGGCGACGAUCCGUAGCUGGUCUGAGAGGAUGAUCAGCCACACUGGAACUGAGACACGGUCCAGACUCCUACGGGAGGCAGCAGUGGGGAAUAUUGGACAAUGGGCGCAAGCCUGAUCCAGCCAUGCCGCGUGUGUGAAGAAGGCCUUCGGGUUGUAAAGCACUUUUGUCCGGAAAGAAAAGCUUAGGGUUAAUAACCUUGAGUCAUGACGGUACCGGAAGAAUAAGCACCGGCUAACUUCGUGCCAGCAGCCGCGGUAAUACGAAGGGUGCAAGCGUUACUCGGAAUUACUGGGCGUAAAGCGUGCGUAGGUGGUUUGUUAAGUCUGAUGUGAAAGCCCUGGGCUCAACCUGGGAAUGGCAUUGGAAACUGGCUUACUAGAGUGCGGUAGAGGGGUGUGGAAUUCCCGGU